GUCUCCUGCCAGUCUUCUGUAGGGGUCAAGGGGGGGGGGGUUAGGUUAAGUUAAGUAAGAUUGGGUUAGGUUAGGUUAAGUUAGAUUAGAUUUGGUUCUGUUAGGUUGGGUUGGAUAGAUUAGGUUUGGUUAGGUAAGGUUAGGUAAGAUUGGGUUAGGUUAGAUUAGGUGAGGUUAGAUUUGGUUCUGUUAGGUUGGGUUGGAUAGAUUAGGUUUGGUUAGGUAAGGUAAGGUUAGGUUAGAUGAGGUUAGGUUUUGUUAGGUUAGGUUAGAUUUGGUUCUGUUAGGUUGGGUUGGAUAGAUUAGGUUUGGUUAGGUAAGGUUAGGUAAGAUUGGGUUGGGUUAGAUUAGGUUAGGUUAGAUUUGGUUCUGUUAGGUUGGGUUAAAUAGAUUAGGCACCAACACUGUACUGUCCUGGGGGAAUCUAUAUCCUUGCCGUAAUAGAGGCACCAACACGGCACUGCAUACUCCAGGUGAGGCCCAACCAGCAAAGUUUAAGGUCAGGUUGGCUAUGUAGUAUAUGGGUUGGGAGUAUGCAUGCGGGUCAGGUCAGGUCGAGUCAGGUGAAGCGGACGUUAGGAAGGGCCUAUAUACGAAUGCUGAAUA